GGGGUUGUGGCUCAGUGGUAGAGUGUUCGCCUAGCAUGCACAAGGCACUGAGUUUGAUCCUCAGCACCACA
rnacentral:tRNA from 1 species